rnacentral:rRNA from 1 species
UCUUGUACUCACCGCCCGUCAUGUCAAGGGAGCCGAGAGUGCCCGAAGUCCCACCUUGUGUGGGCCUAAGGUAAGCUUGGUAACAAGGACAAAGUCGUAACAAGGCACGGCUAGCGGAAGCUG